rnacentral:rRNA from 1 species
GACAGAGGGUGCGAACGUUGUUCGGAAUUAUUGGGCGUAAAGAGCUCGUAGGCGGUUUGUCGCGUCUGCCGUGAAAGUCCGGGGCUCAACUCCGGACUCUGCGGUGGGUACGGGCAGACUAGAGUGAUGUAGGGGGAGACUGGAAUUCCUGGUGUAGCGGUGAAAUGCGCAGAUAUCAGGAGGAACACCGAUGGCGAAGGCAGGUCUCUGGGCAUUAACUGACGCUGAGGAGCGAAAGCAUGGGGAGCGAACAGG